rnacentral:rRNA from 1 species
AUACGUAGGUGGCAAGCGUUGUCCGGAAUUAUUGGGCGUAAAGCGCGCGCAGGCGGUCCUUUAAGUCUGAUGUGAAAGCCCACGGCUCAACCGUGGAGGGUCAUUGGAAACUGGGGGACUUGAGUGCCGAAGAGGAAAGUGGAAUUCCACGUGUAGCGGUGAAAUGCGUAGAGAUUUGGAGGAACACCAGUGGCGAAGGCGACUUUCUGGUCUGUAACUGACGCUGAGGCGCGAAAGCGUGGGGAGCAAGCAGGAUUAGAUACCCUGGUAGUCCACGCCGUAAACGAUGAGUGCUAAGUGUUAGGGGGUUUCCGCCCCUUAGUGCUGCAGCUAACGCAUUAAGCACUCCGCCUGGGGAGUACGGUCGCAAGACUGAAACUCAAAUGAAUUGACGGGG